AUCUUUCUGAAUCCGUGCAGAUUUCGUCAGACACCAACCCAUUAGGAUUGAUCAGACUUCCAAGAUAUGUGAAGUU
rnacentral:pre_miRNA from 1 species